rnacentral:tRNA from 1 species
GGGGCUGUGGCGGAAUUGGUAGACGCACCNNGCGCCGCAAGGUGUGAGAGUUCGAGUCUCUCCAGCCCCACCA